rnacentral:rRNA from 1 species
AGAGUUUGAUCAUGGCUCAGAGCGAACGUUAGCGGCGGGCUAACACAUGCAAGUCGAACGAGAAUGUAGGCUUCGGUCUACUAGUAAAGUGGCGGACGGGUGCGUAACACGUGGGUAAUCUACCUUCCGGCGGGGGACAACAGUCCGAAAGGAUUGCUAAUACCGCAUACGUCAGCGGCGCCUACGGGCGCUGUUGGGAAAAGAUGGCCUCUCCUUGGAAGCUGUCACCGGAAGAUGAGCCCGCGUCCCAUCAGCUAGUUGGUGAGGUAACGGCUCACCAAGGCUUAGACGGGUAGCUGGUCUGAGAGGAUGAUCAGCCACACUGGGACUGCGACACGGCCCAGACUCCUACGGGAGGCAGCAGUGGGGAAUAUUGGGCAAUGGGCGGAAGCCUGACCCAGCCACGCCGCGUGAGUGAUGAAGGCCUUCGGGUCGUAAAGCUCUGUGGGGAGGGACGAAUAAGCUCGGUGUUAAUAACACCGGGCCCUGACGGUACCUCCUUAGCAAGCACCGGCUAACCCUGUGCCAGCAGCCGCGGUAAUACAGGGGGUGCAAACGUUGCUCGGAAUCAUUGGGCGUAAAGCGCACGUAGGCGGUUCGUUAUGUCGGAUGUGAAAGCCCUUGGCUUAACCGAGGAAGUGCAUCCGAAACUGGCGAGCUAGAGUACUAAAGAGGAUCGCGGAAUUCCCGGUGUAGAGGUGAAAUUCGUAGAUAUCGGGAGGAACACCGGUGGCGAAGGCGGCGAUCUGGGUAGAUACUGACGCUGAGGUGCGAAAGCGUGGGGAGCAAACAGGAUUAGAUACCCUAGUAGUCC